AUUGAACGCUGGCGGCAGGCCUAACACAUGCAAGUCGAGCGGGGUUUUCGGACCUAGCGGCGGACGGGUGAGUAAUGCGUAGGAAGCUACCCGAUAGAGGGGGAUACCAGUUGGAAACGACUGUUAAUACCGCAUAAUGUCUAUGGACCAAAGUGUGGGACCUUCGGGCCACAUGCUAUCGGAUGCGCCUACGUGGGAUUAGCUAGUUGGUGAGGUAAUGGCUCACCAAGGCGACGAUCCCUAGCUGGUUUGAGUGGAUGAUCAGCCACACUGGAACUGAGACACGGUCCAGACUCCUACGGGAGGCAGCAGUGGGGAGUAUUGGACAAUGGGCGCAAGCCUGAUCCAGCCAUGCCGCGUGUGUGAAGAAGGCCUUCGGGUUGUAAAGCACUUUCAGUAGGGAGGAAGGGUGUUGUGUUAAUAGCACAGCAUUUUGACGUUACCUACAGAAGAAGCACCGGCUAACUCUGUGCCAGCAGCCGCCGUAACAC
rnacentral:rRNA from 1 species